AAACCUCCCCAAAUCCAACACUUCCAGCAUGUCCAAACUGGGAAACAGGCGGCAGAGUAACACGGGGCAAGAGGAGAGGGAGCAAACAGACACCAGCAAAGCAUUCCUGUAACACGAUGUGCUACACAAGUUCCCAGUAGCGACAGACGCCUAAAGGAGCCUGUUUGUGUGCUGUGUGGCCACGUUCUGCUGUGACUGGAUCUUGUCUUCUGCCUGGCUCCUCGAUUUCCGUCCGGCUGGAUUUGGGGACAACACUGCCUGGCGCAGACAGAUCAAAUGACACUUCAAAGAAGCAUAAAAUGAACAGACUAUUCAAACAAAGGUAAUUUACAUUUUUUUAUUUGAUAAAACCUGACUGAUGUACAAAACGAAAAUAGAAUAUUGUUUACUGGAAAACAGGUCUACAAUCUCUCACACAUCUUCUCUUGCAACAGAUAGAAUUCCAGAAACAUCUAAGUUCCUCUGUGUACAGUUAUUUCUCCUGUAGGAGCCUUUGUAUGGAUGUAAUACACACAUAUAUGUAUAUGCAUAGAGCAUGACAUAAAUAAAACCUGCAAUAGCCUAUAAGAAAGAAGCUCCUAUUUAGAGGAAAGGGUAAGAUACUUUUAUUAUAAUGAAAGCCAGUUCACUUCAUCACUUGGACCAUGGACACUAAUGUAAAUAAAAUGGCUUAAAAAAUAAGACAAUAGUAGUAUUGACUGUAGACUACAAUUUGCACAUUUGUAAUUCUUAUAAAUGAAAUAUUUAAAAUGAUUUGGUGUUGGGCCAGUUCCUUAUGCAUUCUGCAUUCAUGUGUAUAGGAUUCAAAGACGUUCCAAAUAUUGAUCAUAAACCAAGUGUAUAUGAAUUAAUUAAAUAGCAUAUUUCUGGCCCAAAUAUGAGGAAAACCAUAACUUUUUACUGUAAAUCAGGAGAGAUUGUUUUAUCCCCAAAUAAACUAGGAUGUUUCAAGUCAUGUUUCAGCAAUUUGGAGACCUACAAACUAUCUGCAAGCAAGCACAACAACCAUACUCUAAUCUACUAGAUAGUAGUGAGAAUUUAGUGCUUGAAUUCAGGCUGCUUGAAUUCAGUAUAUCCUUCUCUAUGCUGAUUUUCAAGUAGAUAUUCUGUAGCUCAGCUAGAUAAUCUUUUAAAAGCAAAAAAAAAA
rnacentral:lncRNA from 1 species